CAUCUGGCUCACAGUCCUGGAGCAACCCUGGGGCUGCUGGGCCAAACGGGGCUCAAGGGCACCUUGGCUCUGCUGACUGUGCUGCCCAGAGUAUGUGCUUUACACCAACCUCCUGGUGCCCAGGAAAACUGGCUACCCCCCAAGAAAGAACAGCCAAUACAUGCUCGGACUGCUCUUAAGCAAGAGAACUGGAGGGAGUGCCAAUAGCAGAGAAAGGAAGCAGGCAACACAAAGAGCUGAGGUGUUUCAGUCUCCCUGUGCCACACUAAAAAUUCUAUCAGAUGGUUCCCUGACCAGAACGGCAGACGAGAGACUGCUGGUGAGUCCCCUUGCCGUUCAGGACCAGACUGCAUACUGGAUUAUUUCCUCACUUUUCAACACUUGGGAGCUGCUAAACUUGUCACUGCUGGUUUGCAAACAACACCGGUCUAAUUCAUUUACCACAGAAAAUGCCAACACUGCCAGAUUCAUCGCUGACAAAUCUGCUUGGACUUGCUGCUGAAGACUGAUGGGGCUCGGGGUUUACAGCCCCCAUUAAGGUAUCCUUCUCAGAGUCCCAAGUCCCACUAAAAGUCUCAGGUAAGACAUUCUCUAUACUUGUGGACAUGGGGCCAUGUAUAGGGUUCUUCCUGAGCUUUCAGGCUGCUAUAUUAAGUCCUCAGUCUCUAUAGGGGUAUUGAUGGCCAACCUAUGCAGCCUGUAUAGACAGGGCCUAUUUCAUGCAGGUUCCAGACUGCUUCUUCCCAGUCCACCCAGUGGUGCCAAACCCUCCCUCAACCACUCACUUUACAGUCCUAAAUCUUUAAAAUGCCUUUUUAUUCCUAUGUGUUUAUGCAGAGUGACCCAGACACUGAGGCUUCAACAGCUUACACCUGUUAUCGCUAAUAAACCUCUCCUCAGGGGUAUAUAGCACCCCUUCCUUUCUUAUUCACCAGUUUCUCAGACACAACCCUGGUCCAGACUGACAGAUAAAUUUAUCUUCUCACCUUUGUUUAUACUUUUUCAGGGUACAUAAAAGCCUUUACCACAACCAGGGAGACUGCUAAUAUAUUUACUAAAGUCCUAUUACAGCAAAUCAUCCCAAGGACUACAACCAAGUUAGAGCAGCCUAUACCUGGUCUUCUUGGCAACCUCAACAGCAGUCAAAGUCUCUAGACUGCCAUCCUGGUUUCACAUCACUCAGGCUAAGUGGUGCCCUUCCAGCCCUAAAUCUAACCAUCCUUUUGCCCACUCGUCUCCACCUCACCAAGGCCUCACAGCCACAGCUCUCAGGCUGUCAUGUUUUGUUAUCCAAUUUGGUUCCUAAUUCCUUAUCCUUUUUACAGCAGGACUCUCAACAGGAUUUCCUAAAGACUCCCACAGCAUGCAUACCAGAUACAAGUCUUACCCACCUACCCUCUUAACUUUUACCCGUUCAGAUGGAGGAAUAAUCACCUCUCAUAACCCCACACUUACCAUGGCAAUGAGUCUAUCUCAACAUGGUCCUAAUAAAAUGACAUAUCUAAAUCAAAGACACCUUUCCUUCUACCUCACCUGGGUCCUUAAAUAUGAUAGUGGCCUGCCUCCUCAUAACACCUUGUUUUUUUGUUUUUCCAGUCUAACAUAUGAGCAUUCACCAGUGAUACAGUUGUCCUGGUUAAAACACCUGGCACCAGAUUCUACAUGGCAUCAACUGUCAUCCCAUCAACAAUCCUAAACCCCACUACAGCACCCCCUUUCAGCAGGAAACAAUAAAAAAAAAGAAAAUCUUCACCCUUUUUCCUAAUAAUCAAAAGACAGGAAUGAAAGGAUUUUGCCCCAGAUGGGACAAUGUAGCUGGUGGGAAGCUGGGAGGUGGAACCAAGGGGCUCUAGCUUGAGGUCACCUUUCCUGCCCCUAAGCAAUUUACCUGUGGUGCAAAAUGAAUACCAAUGGGCUACCUGUGCAUCACUAAUGCCCCUUAGGCACCACCCCAAACCUAAGCUAGAUGUAUGCCCCCACACUGUGUCUGGGGGAGAGAAUGCCAGAUCCCGGAGGGUCAUGGAAUCUCUCUCCACAUUCUUAAAAUAAAGGCUGCUUUUAUUUCAUAUUA